GUAGUCAACCUGCCCUGGAGACAAGGACAACCCCGGGAAACUGGGAUUAAUCCUUGAUAGGUCAUCUCAUCUGGAAGGAGAGAUGGCUUAAAGGGGUACGCGGGCUUCUUCCGCGAAUCUGCUCCAGGAUGGGACUGCGUCCGAUCAGGCUGUUGGCGGGGUAAUGGCCCACCAAACCUGUAACCGGUACGGGCCUUGAGAGAGGUGGCCCGGAGAUGGACACUGAGAGAAGGGUCCAGGUCCUACGGGGCGCAGCAGGCGCGAAACCUUCGCAAUGCGCGAAAGCGUGACGAGGUUAAUCCGAGUGACUCCCGCUGAGGGGGUCUUUUGUCAGCUGUAAAUAGGCAGGCGAAUAAGGGGAGGGCAAGCCUGGUGUCAGCCGCCGCGGUAAUACCAGCUCCUCGAGUGGUCGGGGCGAUUAUUGGGCCUAAAGCAUCCGUAGCCGGUUCCGUAGGUCCUCUGUUAAAUCCAACCGCUUAACGGUUGACCUGCAGAGGAUACCGCGGGACUAGGAGGCGGGAGAGGCGGACGGUACUCCGCGUGUAGGGGUAAAAUCCUUUGAUCC
rnacentral:rRNA from 1 species